rnacentral:lncRNA from 1 species
AUUAAAUUAGAUUUAAAUUUGAUUUAAUUUUCUAAUCAAAUUAGAAAUUAGAUUGACCCAAGUCCUAGUUGAACUAGGACUAGUUUUUCCUUGCACUUGGCUUAUCCAAUAAACCAAUUGGACUUGAUCCAAUCAAGCCCAAACCAAAUCUAAUUAAAUCAUAUUUAAUUAGAUUUAAUCUCAACCUAUUGGCUUAAUCAAAUUAAGUCAAUUAGCAAUCAAAUUGCUAAUCGAUCCUCCUGCAACACUUGUACUGGGUUAAAUGUCAAUCGUAUUGAUCGUUUAACCCUAGAAUGAUUCUUAAUCAUUGAUCAACCAUCCGAUCGGAUCAUGAACUCUAAUAUGUGUGAUCUCAUAGAUCCGAACCUGAGCUGGUAGCAUAGAAAAAAAUUCCUAUACCAAUCGAAGUGACCAUCUAGCAAUGGUACCCGACGACCGGAUAGGUCGAAUGUGUAGAACAACAUCCUUAGAACCCAUGCGGAUAUAGUUUUCAUAUAAUUCAUCCCCUUGACCAAAUGAUCAUAGGACACCCCAGAGUUUAGCUGUCAACUCUGAUCAGGUUGUCCACAUUGUAUUUCAAAAUAUCAAAUCCAUCUGAUGGAUUACCCUGGUCAAGGUUUUGCUAAAUUGAAAUACAGCGACUCAUUCUUCUCCAACUCUUGGAGUGGUCAAUCCCAUCUC